rnacentral:lncRNA from 1 species
UGGUUUUGGAAUCUAAAGUUGGGGAGAGUAAAGUGAAAAGUUGAUUAGAAACUUGGAAAAGUGAGUUUUUAUGAAAGGGUAAAAAUAUGAAAAGAAACAAGAAAAAGAAAUCACCCUUGAAACCAUAGAGCAAAGAAAAAAAAAUAGAAAAAAAAAAGUAAAGAAAAUGCUCAUGGUUGUGUGGAUUUGAAAAGAAAAAGAAAAAGAAAAAGAUAGGGAUCAAAGAAAGGGAAAUUGUGUAGAGUUAAAUGUUUGAGAAUGCUCCCUUAGGAUAGGCAACUUUGUUGAAUUCUCUUAAUCAUAUCCUUUCUUGUAACCUAAGCCACAUUACAACCUUUGAAAGACCUCUUGAUUCUCAUUUUUCACAUGAUUUGGUACUUGUUGUGAUAACCGCAUGAUUUGAGUUGUUGUUGAUUUAAUUGCUUGGAUGAGUGAAAGUAACCCUUCAU